rnacentral:rRNA from 1 species
AAGAAGCACCGGCUAACUCUGUGCCAGCAGCCGCGGUAAUACAGAGGGUGCAAGCGUUAAUCGGAAUUACUGGGCGUAAAGCGCGCGUAGGUGGUUUGUUAAGUUGGAUGUGAAAUCCCCGGGCUCAACCUGGGAACUGCAUUCAAAACUGACUGACUAGAGUAUGGUAGAGGGUGGUGGAAUUUCCUGUGUAGCGGUGAAAUGCGUAGAUAUAGGAAGGAACACCAGUGGCGAAGGCGACUUUCUGGUCUGUAACUGACGCUGAUGUGCGAAAGCGUGGGGAUCAA